CCAAACUUGGUCAUUUAGAGGAAGUAAAAGUCGUAACAAGGUUUUCGUAGGUGAACCUGCGAAAGGAUCAUUCCGAGUUUGGGUGCGCGAAACUGUGUUUGUGAAGAGCGAUGUGCAUCUGCGGGUGCACUCAUUUUAUAUACGUGUGAUUCAAUGGUAGAUGAACGAACGAACAACAACUGUCAGCAACGGAUCACUCGGCUCUCAGCCAAACUUGGUCAUUUAGAGGAAGUAAAAGUCGUAACAAGGUUUUCGUAGGUGAACCUGCGAAAGGAUCAUUCCGAGUUUGGGUGCGCGAAACUGUGUUUGUGAAGAGCGAUGUGCAUCUGCGGGUGCACUCAUUUUAUAUACGUGUGAUUCAAUGGUAGAUGAACGAACGAACAACAACUGUCAGCAACGGAUCACUCGGCUCUCGCAUCGAUGAAGAACGCAGC
rnacentral:misc_RNA from 1 species